AAUAGAUACCCAGGUAGUCCACGCCGUAAACGAUGAGUGCUAAGUGUUAGAGGGUUUCCGCCCUUUAGUGCUGCAGCUAACGCAUUAAGCACUCCGCCUGGGGGGUACGGUCGCAAGACUGAAACUCAAAGGAAUUGACGGGGGCCCGCACAAGCGGUGGAGCAUGUGGUUUAAUUCGAAGCAACGCGAAGAACCUUACCAGGUCUUGACAUCCUCUGACAACUCUAGAGAUAGAGCGUUCCCCUUCGGGGGACAGAGUGACAGGUGGUGCAUGGUUGUCGUCAGCUCGUGUCGUGAGAUGUUGGGUUAAGUCCCGCAACGAGCGCAACCCUUGAUCUUAGUUGCCAGCAUUUAGUUGGGCACUCUAAGGUGACUGCCGGUGACAAACCGGAGGAAGGUGGGGAUGACGUCAAAUCAUCAUACCCCUUAUGACCUGGGCUACACACGUGCUACAAUGGAUGGUACAAAGGGCUGCGAGACCGCGAGGUCAAGCCAAUCCCAUAAAACCAUUCUCAGUUCGGA
rnacentral:rRNA from 1 species